rnacentral:rRNA from 1 species
GACGUAGGGCGCAAGCGUUGUCCGGAUUUAUUGGGCGUAAAGGGCGCGUAGGCGGCCUUCUAAGUCGAACGUGAAAUCCCCGGGCUCAACCCGGGAACUGCGUCCGAUACUGGAAGGCUUGAAUCCGGGAGAGGGAUGCGGAAUUCCAGGUGUAGCGGUGAAAUGCGUAGAUAUCUGGAGGAACACCGGUGGCGAAGGCGGCAUCCUGGACCGGUAUUGACGCUGAGGCGCGAAAGCCAGGGGAGCAAACGGG